UGUCCGCGUAGUUGGGCUGCGGGAAGAUCACGUGGCUGCUCCGCGAGUCCGCCGUGAGGGACACCUCGUGGGAAUAGGUCUGCAGGAAGGCGCGCACCCCGUCCACGCCCACAAAGUGCGAGGCCGGUACGCCCGCCAGCCCGCCACAGCCCGACGCCCGCAGCAGGCGAGAGCUGUGCCAGCGCCGCAGCCUGAGCGCCAGCAGCACGAUGACGAAGGCCAGGAAGACGCAGGACACCGCGGCCACCGCCACCACCAGAUGUCGACUGAAGCUCAAACACCUGUGAAGUCUCUCCAGGGGUUUUCUCUCGAAAAUACGCCACCUGGGCAUUGUACCCGUCAUCUGCGUCAGUAGCAGACACCCUCUCCUGGCUGAUGCUGAGCAGCGUGUCCGCGUAGUUGGGCUGCGGGAAGAUCACGUGGCUGCUCCGCGAGUCCGCCGUGAGGGACACCUCGUGGGAAUAGGUCUGCAGGAAGGCGCGCACCCCGUCC